rnacentral:rRNA from 1 species
UACAGAGGUCUCAAGCGUUGUUCGGAUUCAUUGGGCGUAAAGGGUGCGUAGGUGGCGGGGUAAGUCUGGUGUGAAAUCUCGGAGCUCAACUCCGAAACUGCACUGGAUACUGCCUUGCUCGAGUGCUGGAGAGGAGAUUGGAAUUUACGGUGUAGCAGUGAAGUGCGUAGAUAUCGUAAGGAAGACCGGUGGCGAAGGCGAAUCUCUGGACAGUUACUGACACUGAGGCACGAAGGCCAGGGGAGCAAACGGG